UACGUAGGGUGCGAGCGUUGUCCGGAAUUAUUGGGCGUAAAGGGCUCGUAGGCGGCUUGUCGCGUCGGAUGUGAAAGCCCGGGGCUUAACUCCGGGUCUGCAUUCGAUACGGGCAGGCUAGAGUGUGGUAGGGGAGAUCGGAAUUCCUGGUGUAGCGGUGAAAUGCGUAGAUAUCGAGAGGAACACCUGCGGCGAAGGCGGGUUGCUGGGCCGACACUGACGUGAUGCGCGAAAGCCAGGGGGAGCGGAACGGG
rnacentral:rRNA from 1 species